rnacentral:rRNA from 1 species
CCUACGGGGGGCAGCAGUGGGGAAUAUUGGACAAUGGGGGCAACCCUGAUCCAGCCAUGCCGCGUGUGUGAAGAAGGCCCUCGGGUUGUAAAGCACUUUCAGUGAGGAAGAACGCCUGGUGGUUAAUACCCAUCAGGAAAGACAUCACUCACAGAAGAAGCACCGGCUAACUCCGUGCCAGCAGCCGCGGUAAUACGGAGGGUGCGAGCGUUAAUCGGAAUUACUGGGCGUAAAGCGCGCGUAGGUGGCUUGAUAAGCCGGUUGUGAAAGCCCCGGGCUCAACCUGGGAACGGCAUCCGGAACUGUCAAGCUAGAGUGCAGGAGAGGAAGGUAGAAUUCCCGGUGUAGCGGUGAAAUGCGUAGAGAUCGGGAGGAAUACCAGUGGCGAAGGCGGCCUUCUGGACUGACACUGACACUGAGGUGCGAAAGCGUGGGUAGCAAACAGGAUUAUAUACCCUUGUAGUC